rnacentral:rRNA from 1 species
UACGAAGGGGGCUAGCGUUGUUCGGAAUUACUGGGCGUAAAGCGCACGUAGGCGGAUAUUUAAGUCGGGGGUGAAAUCCCGGGGCUCAACCCCGGAACUGCCUUCGAUACUGGGUAUCUUGAGUUCGGAAGAGGUGAGUGGAAUUGCGAGUGUAGAGGUGAAAUUCGUAGAUAUUCGCAGGAACACCAGUGGCGAAGGCGGCUCACUGGUCCGAUACUGACGCUGAGGUGCGAAAGCGUGGGUAGCAAACAGG